UGCGAGAAGGAACGGCUGCCGGUCGUUUUUUUAUUAGCUUUUGGUGACAUUUUGUGUGAGUCGAAAAAGAAAUUUGUGUGUGUGUGUGUGUUUAUGGAAGGCGUUCCAGCUGAAAUAUUUUGGGAAUUAUGGUGAAUAUUUUGCGUGUGUGUUGAUGGAAAGCGAUUCCGGCGGAUUGGGUGGCGAAACUGUGUGUGUGUUUGUUUAUGGAAAGGGAAAAAUCUAUUAGCCCCCGCUAGGGGGACUCUCUCUUGCGCCUACCAGCAGCCGCCAGCCGGCUGUGUUGUUGACAAGUGAUAGUUCGUCGUCAUGUCUUUUCAUUGGAAUUUUCAUGUCUUCUCAGCACACUUGUAAGUUUUGGCAUGUUAAAGUAUUUUGUGUAAUUGUUACAUCAUGAUGAAAACAUGUGCUACAUGUGUGUUGAUGGAAAGCGAUCUAUUUGCAUUUAGACUGACUGAGAGCUAUCAGUUUUUCCUUUCGAGAAAAAUAAAAGGCCAACACCAUGGUUAAAAAAGGGUUUUUGUUAACCAUGCUCAAAGUUGCCACUACUCGUGUAUCAUCCAAGCUAUCAUGUGUGUUGAUGGAAAGCGAUCUAUUUGCAAUUAGACUGACUGAAAGCUAUCAGAUUGUCCUUUCCAAUUGCUGAAAAAGUUUCUUGGUUGGAUGCCAACAUCAGCCGUGUGAAGGCAACUCUUAAGACUAAGGACUUGCCUAUUAAAGCCGCUGCCUUCCAUAGCGAACACCAGGCUUUUGAAAGCAGCAUGAAUCCAGUUUUGAACAAACCCAAACCACAGCCUCCUGCCCCACCGGCUGAAGCUGCACAGUCGGGCAAGCCAGAGGAUGCUGCCAACGGCUCAACAAUAGUGCUCCCAGAAUUGAUCCGCGGACCGCAGUCCCGACUCCAUCAUGCGAAAUUAAUUGGCCGUGCAUCACCAACUUAUAUCGGAUGGGCGCUCCGUAUUGAAAACUAUUGCUAAAUUUCAUAAAGCUUUACAUAAUUUUGCUUGGACAAUCAUGUGUAAGUGGUGUAUAAAAUGAAAUGCGUGUUGAAUACAAAUUUUAAAUCGCG